GCUCUCCUCCUAGUGCCGAGCCCUAAAGUCAAAGAAGAAAAAUUUCUUCUGAAGGAAGAAUGUAAACAUGGUGCUGCCCAGGCUACUGAAGCUUGUCAUGGUGUCCAUGUGGCUGGGAUCCAGUUUCGCCCAGAAGGUAGCUCAGGCCCAGCCAGCCAUGUGGGUGCAGGAGAAGGAGGCUGUGAGCCUGCACUGCACCUAUGACACCAGUGCCACAAGUUAUGGUCUCCUCUGGUACAAGCAGCCCAGCAGUGGGGAGAUGGUCUUCCUCAUUCGCCAGGACUCUUACAGCAAGGAAAAUGCCACACAAGGUCGCUACUCACUGAGUUUGCAGAAGGCAAGCAAAUCCAUCCAGCUUGUCAUCACAGCCUCACAGCUGGAGGACUCAGCAGUGUAUUUCUGUGCACUGAGAGAUGACACAGAGGGAGGACUGUUGAAGGCCGUUGUACAAAAACCCAGGGUAUGUCUGAGACACCCACCUGGUGUAGGGACCAAGGCAGGGAAUGGCCACCCCAGAGAGGAUGUGGCCAGGGCUGUGGCAGCUCAUGUCUAGGGUUGGAGGGAAAACACUCUCUCUGAGGAAACCCUCUCUAGGUUCAUAGACCACAUCAGAGUUAUUACUAACCAGUGCCAUCCAUGUUCCUGAAUCUUUGGAUUGAAGAUUGACCCAGAAUUUUUUGACACAAGAUAGAAAAAGAAGAAUAAGCAUGAUAAAUAAUGUUUGUUGAGGAAUUGGUUAAGGAAGUUUAGAAU